rnacentral:rRNA from 1 species
GAUGAACGCUGGCGGCGUGCCUAAUACAUGCAAGUCGAGCGAACGGACGAGAAGCUUGCUUCUCUGAUGUUAGCGGCGGACGGGUGAGUAACACGUGGAUAACCUACCUAUAAGACUGGGAUAACUUCGGGAAACCGUAGCUAAUACCGGAUAAUAUUUUGAACCGCAUGGUUCAAAAGUGAAAGACGGUCUUGCUGUCACUUAUAGAUGGAUCCGCGCUGCAUUAGCUAGUUGGUAAGGUAACGGCUUACCAAGGCAACGAUGCAUAGCCGACCUGAGAGGGGGAUCGGCCACACUGGAACUGAGACACGGUCCAGACUCCUACGGGAGGCAGCAGUAGGGAAUCUUCCGCAAUGGGCGAAAGCCUGACGGAGCAACGCCGCGUGAGUGAUGAGGGUCUUCGGAUCGUAAAACUCUGUUAUUAGGGAAGAACAUAUGUGUAAGUAACUGUGCACAUCUUGACGGUACCUAAUCAGAAAGCCACGGCUAACUACGUG